UACGUAGGUCCCGAGCGUUGUCCGGAUUUAUUGGGCGUAAGGCGAGCGCAGGUGGUUUAUUAAGUCUGGUGUAAAAGGCAGUGGCUCAACCAUUGUAUGCAUUGGAAACUGGUAGACUUGAGUGCAGGAGAGGAGAGUGGAAUUCCAUGUGUAGCGGUGAAAUGCGUAGAUAUAUGGAGGAACACCGGUGGCGAAAGCGGCUCUCUGGCCUGUAACUGACGCUGAGGCUCGAAAGCGUGGGGAGCAAACAGG
rnacentral:rRNA from 1 species